UACGGAGGGGGCUAGCGUUGUUCGGAAUUACUGGGCGUAAAGCGCGCGUAGGCGGAUCUGCAAGUCGGGGGUGAAAUCCCGAGGCUCAACCUCGGAACUGCCUUCGAUACUGCGGGUCUCGAGUCCGGGAGAGGUGAGUGGAAUUCCUAGUGUAGAGGUGAAAUUCGUAGAUAUUAGGAAGAACACCAGUGGCGAAGGCGGCUCACUGGCCCGGUAUUGACGCUGAGGCGCGAAAGCUAGGGGAGCAAACGGG
rnacentral:rRNA from 1 species